UUCAGUACCUCUGCAGCUGAUAGAUUGGGAAGCUGGAAGUUGGAAUCCAGACUUUUCUUUAUCCUGUAAAGUAGCCCACCUGCAGGAGUGCAUUCAACUGGGUUUCCGUCAGCUGCAAUCAAGAGACCUGAUGAAUGCAGCUGUCACAGAGCUGGAGCUUGGGUGUCCUGGGAAGUGUUGAUGGUGCCUCGCUUCCUCUGGAGAACUAAACCCUCUCUUGGAAGGACAUGAUGGAAACUCAACAGCCAACUUGACAGUCAGGAACUGCAUAGUCUCCUGUGAAUGAUUUAUGAUUACAUCAGUGAUGAGACUCUGGCUGAUGAAGUACUCAACUCUCUAGGCUGUCUGGUCCAAGCAGGGUCUCACCAACCGGACAGGUAUUCAGGGACUACUGACCUUCUCCGUGUUUGCCUGGCAUCUAGGUGACAGUGCCUGUGGCACAGGACCACAUCCUAGCAAGGCUGGACAAGAACCCAUACUCUGCCUCCCUGUUCAAUUUCAGGGUGUGAGUUCGAUUUUACCACGACUCUCAACGGAGAGCCUGGACUAAUAAUAAUCAUUGCCGGCAUCGAGUGAAUGCUUGAUUUGGGGGCUGAACCCCUUUUUAUGUUUGGGGAAUUCUCCAUCCCAGGAUGAGAGUAGGGAGAGAAGAGUCAGCUUUCCACCAAGAAGCGAAGAAAGCCAGAUCCUCGC